AAAAAAGAGAAAGAUUGGGUUGGGAGUAACGGCGAUGAUUGGAGAAUCUUCUAGACAUAUGAAAUUUGUGGAUUAGGGCUUUUAAUCGGCGAAAAAAUGGGGCGAAGGAAGGUAGAAAUUAAGCGAAUUCAAGAUAAAAAUUGCAGGCAAGUUGCGUUCUGUAAACGGAGGAAGGGUUUAUUGAAGAAAGCUAAAGAAAUUUCUAUUCUCUGCGAUGUCGAUGUUGCUGUUGUUAUCAUCUCAAAUCGUGGUAGACUCCAUGAAUUCUCCAGCAAUAACAGUAUGACAGCGAUGCUUCGACGAUAUGAAAGCCAUGUUGGAGCAGAAAAAGAGAUCAAUGCAGAAAUCCAGGUCGCAGAGGUGUCGGGGUUCACAACAAUGGGAGAACUGCUACAAACAACAGAAAGGCAACUCGAGGAAACAAAUGCUGAUGGUCUCACUUUGACUGACCUUAUCCAUUUGGAAAACGAACUUCAAACUGCUCUAAUACAUCUCAGAGCUAGAAAGACACAUUUGAUGCUUGAAUCUGCUAAGGUUCUUCAUGAGAAGGAAAAACUGCUGCUAGAGGAAAAGAAACAUCUGGAGGACAAUAUAGCUAGUAUCAAGAAAAACACAAAAGUGAAUGAAAUGUCUGACCUUCCAGCACCCCACAUGAUUUGUGGACAACAAAAAGUUACCCUGAAUUUCUUCUAGUGAUUAUCGUCGUAUUCGUCGAAAAGCCUUGCUUCUGCACCAGAGGAACCUGCAAAAUUAGUUUCAAUAAAACUAAUAAUUAUUCAUCCUUGUUCUUGUUUCUAAUGGAUGAUGAUUAAAGUUAACUUCUCUACUUUGACAUAUUUACUAGAGGGUGACUUAUAUGCCUAUUUUUCCCUCUUUUUAAGUUGUAUAAUGGAGUACUUGAAAUUGAUUACCCUACACAUUAUUGUUAUGAUUUUU
rnacentral:misc_RNA from 1 species